CCUACGUGAGGCAGCAGUGGGGAAUAUUGGGCAAUGGGCGAAAGCCUGAACCAGCAACGCCGCGUGAAGGAAGAAGGCUUUCGGGUUGUAAACUUCUUUUGACAGGGGAGUGAAGAAGACGAUACCUGUGGAAUAAGCCACGGCUAACUACGAGCCAGCAGCCGAGAUAAUACGUAGGUGGCAAGCGUUGACCGGAUUUACUGGGUGUAAAGGGCGUGUAGCCGGGUUGAGAAGUCAGUUGUGAAAGCCGGGGGCUCAACCCUAGAACUGCAUUUGAAACUGUCGGUCUUGAGUAUCGUAGAGGCAGGCGGAAUUCGUGGUGUAGCGGUGAAAUGCUUAGAUAUUACGAGGAACACCAGUGGCGAAGGCGGCCUGCUGGACUUCAACUGACGGUGAGGCGCGAAAGUGUGGGUAGCAAACAGGAUUAGAUACCCGUGUAGUC
rnacentral:rRNA from 1 species